UGAAGACCCUGAUGAGCA
rnacentral:piRNA from 1 species